UCAGUGAUUUCGACAAUAAGCAAGUGUUUAGACGCGGCUCUUGUCACAAUGUUAACUUGGUGACAAGUCCGGUGUUUGUUGCAUGUACCUUGAGUCAAACGAAAAUAUCGUUUCUACCGUAAAUCAACUUAAUCGAAAAUCAACAUUAACACUUGUCUAGCUGUUGAUUUCCUCCUGCAAGAUUCAUGCAAGUGGCUCCACCUGCAACACGUAUGCGUACGUAAGGUCGUAACUGAGGUCAAGUUUAACAAAAAUCGUCUUAGUGCUAACCCUUCGACAGGAAAAACAGGUUAUAGCGGUGUUUUCAGGUGUUUCUAUAACGGCCGUGUAGCUACCGCAAUGAACAUCUUGGGCUCAGAGUUUUGCACAACCGGUACUGGUAUGCAAUUGUACCACUGUUGCAAAAGAACCUUCGAAACAGCAGACAUUUUCGACAAUAGAAAAAACUAGGCAGGCAUUUUUGUCAAGUUAGACCCUGUCCGGCAACUGACAAGCGACAUCGUUAUUACCGCAUUUCUAAAGCCUUGCCUCUUGAUUUGAGAAGUUGGUUAUUCCACUAAGCGGACGUUCACUCUACCCUACGACUAGUAAACAUCACUGAGCUUCG